UCAUCAUCUUGGUAUGGAGUGUCAUGCUCAACCUCACUUACUGUGUUAUCAAUGAUUCUAAUACGAGCUUUUGUUUUAAUUACUCCCAACCAACCUUGGUGUCCCUCUGGAUAUUUGGUGUAAUAAACUUGCUCUGCCUGUUGGGCAAAUAUGAAUGGAUCAUAUGCUUUAUUAUAUCUCCGUGAUUCUUUUACUUGAACGAUCCCAUAGUUCUUAUCUACUUUGGUUCCUAUAUUA
rnacentral:lncRNA from 1 species